rnacentral:lncRNA from 1 species
GCAUAAUUUGACACAUUUUAUAUGUGUUUUGAUAUACUUGUUAAUAAUUUAAUACAAAUAACAAAAUAAAUAAUUUUAAUAUGUGUAAUUAAAAAUAUCGGUAUCAAAAGCGUAGGUAUGAUAUCGCAAAUGCGACGUUGUAGUUGUAGGGUAUAGUUUCCGACAGAAGCAGGUGUCUGAUUGGCCCACGUUUCACUCAUCCUACGCAUGUCAUUCUGAUAGCUGUGGCUCGGAAUGUGCGAACCACACGAAUCUUAUUCUCAACAAAGUCCUUCCUUGGGCUUUAAUGAAGUCACAAAAGCUAUAUACUCACUCACUUACCUCAAAUCAAACACCACCGUUUUGGGUCAAACAGUUCCACCACCUUCAAUUACUUUCAAAUACAUUAACCACGCUCAUUUCCGUUCACAUAACCACACAAGCUAAUCCAUUUUCUUUUUUGUGAUUUAUAUUUUUAAGAAUUUGAGUUGUGUACACUCACAAACUUAAUCAUAUAAAUUUGUAUUAAGAUCCACAUUUUAAGAUACUAAAUUAGAUUUAAAACAAAUGAGAUUGGAAAUUGAACACUUUAAUUAAGUGUUGGUAGGACUCCGUUUUAUAUUCCUUUUUCUUUGAG